rnacentral:rRNA from 1 species
GACGAACGCUGGCGGCGUGCUUAACACAUGCAAGUCGAGCGGAAAGGCUCCUUCGGGGGUACUCGAGCGGCGAACGGGUGAGUAACACGUGAGUAAUCUGCCCUUGGCUUCGGGAUAGCCACCGGAAACGGUGAUUAAUACCGGAUACGACAACUUCUCGCAUGGGAUGGUUGUGGAAAGUUUUUUCGGCCAGGGAUGUGCUCGCGGCCUAUCAGCUUGAUGGUGAGGUAAUGGCUCACCAUGGCUUCGACGGGUAGCCGGCCUGAGAGGGUGACCGGUCACACUGGGACUGAGACACGGCCCAGACUCCUACGGGGGGCAGCAGUGGGGAAUAUUGGACAAUGGGCGGAAGCCUGAUCCAGCAACGCCGCGUGAGGGAUGACGGCCUUCGGGUUGUAAACCUCUUUCGGUAGGGACGAAGCGCAAGUGACGGUACCUACUAAAGAAGCACCGGCCAACUACGUGCCAGCAGCCGCAGUAA